rnacentral:rRNA from 1 species
UGGGGAAUAUUGCACAAUGGGGGAAACCCUGAUGCAGCGACGCCGCGUGAGCGAAGAAGGUUUUCGAAUCGUAAAGCUCUGUCCUAUGAGAAGAUAAUGACGGUAUCAUAGGAGGAAGCCCCGGCUAAAUACGUGCCAGCAGCCGCGGUAAUACGUAUGGGGCGAGCGUUGUCCGGGAUUAUUGGGCGUAAAGGGUACGUAGGCGGUCUAUUAAGUCAGGUGUGAAAGCGUGAGGCUUAACCUCAUUAAGCACUUGAAACUGAUAGACUUGAGUGAAGGAGAGGAAAGUGGAAUUCCUAGUGUAGCGGUGAAAUGCGUAGAUAUUAGGAGGAAUACCGGUGGCGAAGGCGACUUUCUGGACUUUUACUGACGCUCAGGUACGAAAGCGUGGGGAGCAAACAGG